AUGGUACACAUGCCAUUUUUGCAGGCUGCUCUGAGAUACACUGAUUUAGAUACAACCACAUGUCUGCAGCAAUUUCUUACUCUUGGUAUAAAGACCAACUCAUGGUGUGGGAAGCAUCUCAUAUGGUUCACCGAAUCAAUUGAUGAAUCUGAAGCGAUUCAAGAGGAGGAGCAAAAACUGGUUAUGCCUAUAGAAGUGAAACGGAAGGCCAUGAACAAUGCGUCUCCGGGAAGUGAAUUUUAUGGUGCCUUGCAUUCUGCUCAUUUGGCGCAAUUGUUCAUCACAAAGUGGAGGGGAGAAGUCUGGCUGCUACUGAUGGGAAAUGGGUGCCUCUCCAGUCAACCGAGCAAUGACAAAUCCAACUGGAAAGGGCUCUGUGGUGAUCUUCAUGUUAUCAGUAAAUCUGGAAAGGAAGCCAUGCGUCGGCGUACGUCAAUGAUUCGGGUGCCUGCGGCAUGA
rnacentral:rRNA from 1 species